AUGACACCUGCCGACGAUUGGCUUCAAAACAGAACUUCAGAAACAGACACCAGUAACAUGGUCCAGGGUGGAUGGGAAGUGGAAAGGGACACUCUGCAGCACUCUUGGGAACCAUGCUGGACAAGUGUGCUCCACUUAAGAGUUCUGCCAGAACAACUCUGACAGCAUGUUAAUGCUAGUGAGACGACGGGUGCCAAUACUCUACCCCAUAUUAAGUUUUACACUAGAGCAGAUGCCAUAUGUUCUUUUCUGCCACAGCCACAUGUCCCCUUCUCUUUCAGCUUUUCCUAAAAGGGACCCAGCAUAAAUGAGGGAGCUUUCUGCUGCUAAUGUGUUUCUGUGUUCAAAAGCCAGCACAGUUGGGAAAAGAACAGUUUUGGCACAAAUAAUUAAAUAAUAAGACACAUCACCAUUUUUUCCCUUCACAAUAAAAGCACUCUGUUCACAUUUGAAAUUGCUUCAUGCCUCAUAUAUUUCACAUGAAAGGAAUCUCCAUAUGUCACGUGAUCUUUGGCAUACAUCACUGUUCUUUUCCUUUUCUAGGAGAUUCAACUUUACUGUUGAAAUGUUUGCAUACUGGUUCAAGGGUAACAGUAAAGAAAAAUCAUUUUCAUUGUACGGAAAUAAAAAUGAACUCAUAAAA